rnacentral:tRNA from 1 species
GUUAACGUAGCACAACCCGGCGCUGCAAAAGACCUAAACCCUUUACAUAGAGAUUCAAAUCCUCUCGUUAACA